rnacentral:tRNA from 1 species
GGAGAGGUACCCAAAGCGGCCGAAUGGGGUCCGGUGGGGUACUCACCGGUCGGGUUAUGCCCGCGCAGGUUCGAAUCCUGCCCUCUCCG